rnacentral:rRNA from 1 species
GAUGAACGCUAGCGGCAGGCUUAAUACAUGCAAGUCGAGGGACAGCACAGGUAGCAAUACUGGGUGGUAACCGGCAAGCGGGUGCGGAACACGUACACAACCUUCCUUUAAGUGGGGGAUAGCCCAGAGAAAUUUGGAUUAAUACCCCGUAAUAUAGUUGAAUGGCAUCAUUUGAUUAUUAUAGCUACGGCGCUUAAUGGUGGGUGUGCGGCUGAUUAGAUAGUUGGCGGGGUAACGGCCCACCAAGUCUACGAUCAGUAGCUGAUGUGAGAGCAUGAUCAGCCACACGGGCACUGAGACACGGGCCCGACUCCUACGGGAGGCAGCAGUAAGGAAUAUUGGUCAAUGGACGCAAGUCUGAACCAGCCAUGCCGCGUGAAGGAUUAAGGUCCUCUGGAUUGUAAACUUCUUUUAUUUGGGACGAAAAAGGGCCUUUCUAGGUCAACUGACGGUACCAGAUGAAUAAGCACCGGCUAACUCCGUGCCAGCCGCCGCAGUAAAAC